AGCUUUGCGCAGUGGCAGUAUCGUAGCCAAUGAGGUUUAUCCGAGGUGCGAUUAUUGCUAAUUGAAAACUUUUCUCUUUCCAAAUAAGUAGAUUCUACCUAUGAAGUACUGUACUGUUUAACUGCUUCCCCAAC
rnacentral:snRNA from 1 species